UACGUAGGGUGCAAGCGUUGUCCGGAAUUAUUGGGCGUAAAGAGCUCGUAGGCGGUGUGUCGCGUCGGCCGUGAAAACCUGCAGCUUAACUGUGGGCGUGCGGUCGAUACGGGCAUCACUGGAGUUCGGCAGGGGAGACUGGAAUUCCUGGUGUAGCGGUGAAAUGCGCAGAUAUCAGGAGGAACACCGGUGGCGAAGGCGGGUCUCUGGACCGAUACUGACGCUGAGGCGCGAAAGCGUGGGGAGCAAACAGG
rnacentral:rRNA from 1 species